GACGAACGCUGGCGGCGUGCUUAACACAUGCAAGUCGAACGGAAAGGCCCUGCUUUUGUGGGGUGCUCGAGUGGCGAACGGGUGAGUAACACGUGAGUAACCUGCCCUUGACUUUGGGAUAACUUCAGGAAACUGGGGCUAAUACCGGAUAGGAGCUCCUGCUGCAUGGUGGGGGUUGGAAAGUUUCGGCGGUUGGGGAUGGACUCGCGGGUUGUCAGCUUGUUGGUGGGGUAGUGGCUUACCAAGGCUUUGACGGGUAGCCGGCCUGGGAGGGUGACGGGCAACAUUGGGACUGGGAUACGGCCCAGACUCCGACGGGAGGCAGAGGUGGGGAAGGUUGAUCAAUGGGCGGAAGCCUGAUGCAGCAACGCCGCGGGCGGGAGGACGGUCUUCGGGUUGUAAACCGCGUUCGCCUGUGACGAAGCGUGAGUGACGGUAAUGGGUAAAGAAGCACCGGCUAACUACGGGC
rnacentral:rRNA from 1 species